CUUGUGUUGACCUCUGGCUCAUAGGUGGGCCUCUCAGAGAGUCCUGGCUUACUUCCGGAGAUCGCUCUUUCCUCUGUAACUUGAGAUAUGGCUUUAAGUGCAUACCAGAAACCCGUUUGACUUGAUGGAAGGUAGAAGAUGCAGAAUUCAGUGGUUCCCUGUGGAGGCCAGCUCUGCAGGAACUCUUCAUCGUAACUCCCCCUCCAGCUAAGGCACACCGUCACAGCCAGUCCAUCCUGCUUCACAUGCAAGGCUCCCUCCUCAGCUCUCC
rnacentral:lncRNA from 1 species